CCUACGGGAGGCAGCAGUGGGGAAUCUUGCGCAAUGCGCGAAAGCGUGACGCAGCAACGCCGCGUGAGGGAAGACGGCCUUCGGGUUGUAAACCUCUUUCAGUUGGGACGAAGCCACGGCGGUUAAUACCCGUCUGUGGUGACGGUACCUUCAGAAGAAGCCCCGGCUAACUACGUGCCAGCAGCCGCGGUAAUACGUAGGGGGCAAGCGUUGUCCGGAAUCAUUGGGCGUAAAGCGCGUGUAGGCGGCUUGGUAAGUCCGCUCUGAAAGCCCGGGGCUCAACCCCGGGAGGCGGGUGGAUACUGUCAAGCUCGAGUCCGGAAGAGGCGAGUGGAAUUCCUGGUGUAGCGGUGAAAUGCGCAGAUAUCAGGAGGAACACCAAUGGCGAAGGCAGCUCGCUGGGACGUGACUGACGCUGAGACGCGAAAGCGUGGGGAGCAAACAGGAUUAGAUACCCUGGUAGUCCACGCCGUAAACGAUGGGCACUAGGUGUGGGGGGUGUCGGACUCCCCCCGUGCCGAAGCUAACGCAUUAAGUGCCCCGCCUGGGGNGACGCGCGAGACAACACAAGAGAGAGCGNGNGAGACGCGACGACGACGACGACGGAGGAGGAG
rnacentral:rRNA from 1 species